UUUUUAACUUCCAUUCAUCAGUUGAUUGGCAUUUGGGUCAUUUUUGGUUUUUGGCUGUUAUGAAUAACGCUGCUAUGAAUGUUCUUGUACAAGUUUUUCUGUGGACAGAGGUU